CACAGGCACACACCCGGAUGGUCAGCGUGCCCGUGCUGCUCUGGAUCGGGUAGUCGUUGUCUGAGAUCACCACUGGGAGAAGGUAGCAUUUUAAAAUAUUUAAAGAUCUAAACCUUCCUCUUCACUUCUUUCCCCAAAAUUAACAUAUCUCUGUGGAGAAUGCUACCUAUGCCAGACACUGAAGUAUUACCUUAUUGGACUUGAAGCAGAAUCAGGAUCUCGUGCCAUUACUGUUCCUAUUAUUGUCCCCAACUCAAUAUCUUCAUGCACCUCAAAAAGAUAAAGAACUACACUGACUAUGAACAUAAUAGAACACAGAAAUUAAAAAGGAGCACUCUUUGUAGAACUUCUCUCUUUAUUGGUUGCCGUUAUCAAGAGAUGCGAAGUGUCCGCAUCUGUGGCUUUAACGCUGCCAAUGGCUGUCCCAACUGGGGAGGACUCAGGAAUGCGGAGAUGGAUGGUACCUGUCAAAGAGACAAAGAGCGAUUCAGGACCCCCACAAGCCGAGAACUUGACAUUUAACGCUAAGACAAUGGACAAAAUAUGAGGCAGAGAACUAUCCAGAGGCAAGUUUUAUAAAGAAGACUGAAAACAGAACUGUAGAAAAAACAUCCAUAGGAAAGUAGGGUUGAGAAAGACUUUUAUUCUGUCUCAGAGAAGAAUCAACUAUAUCUGCAAUCUUCAUGCCUUUCAUUUCCUUCACUUAAAACUAUAUCCCUAUGCCUUGUGGACACUGCUUUGACUCCCAGUGCAAUACUCAAAUCAUUAUUUAGCCUACAAAGUGGCUUUGAACAUGAUACCUCUUUGAAUAUCUUCUUCAGUGUGUCCAGAGAAGAGUAAUACUGCAUUCCUGUCCUACACAACAAUGGAAAUACCAUAAUCUUCUAUAUACAAAUGGAAAUAAUAAAAAUAAUAAAUAAAAAAUGCGGAAAAUGAAAAAAAAUAUAUAAAUUAACAAUAAAUUCUGUUCAGAAUACAACCUUUGUAGAAAUGCACAAAUUCUACUUACUCAAUGGUGCAUGACUUUUUUUAUUUCAAGUGUGUAUAUGAAAUUACAUGCUGAUAAACAUCUUAGCUGAACACAUAUAUAUUAACUUCAAUAUUAAAUUGAACAUAAUUAUGUACUCCAGUUCUGCCAUAAAGAGCAUAAUUUGAAGCUGAUUCUGUUAUUUUGAUCAAGAAGAGUGCAUCAGUAACUACUGUAUUGAGUGGAAUUAUACAGAGUGUAUAAAUUGUGUGGUGAGGAUACUCUAAAUCCUUUACGUAUUAAGUAAAUCUAAAUCAUCAUGCAAAUAUUGUAACUUCAAUUUAUGCAAAAGUCUUCAAAUGUAUUUAAAAUGCUUAACUGUUACAAGUUUGAUGCUACAUAGUUUAAUAUUUCCAUAUCAGAUAGAGACCAAGAUUAUUUUUACAUUUUGGUUUGAGGAUACAAAGUCUUGACAGUGGUAAAAGGCAA